GACGAACGCUGGCGGUGUGCUUAACACAUGCAAGUCGAACGAUGAACUUGGAGCUUGCUCUGGGGGAUUAGUGGCGAACGGGUGAGUAACACGUGAGUAACCUGCCCUGGACUCUGGGAUAACUUCGAGAAAUCGGAGCUAAUACCGGAUAGGACCUUGCACCGCAUGGUGUGGGGUGGAAAGUUUUUCGGUUUGGGAUGGACUCGCGGCCUAUCAGCUUGUUGGUGAGGUAAUGGCUCACCAAGGCGUCGACGGGUAGCCGGCCUGAGAGGGUGACAGGCCACACUGGGACUGAGACACGGCCCAGACUCCUACGCGAGGCAGCAGUGGGGAAUAUUGCACAAUGGGCGCAAGCCUGAUGCAGCAACGCCGCGUGCGGGAUGACGGCCUUCGGGUUGUAAACCGCUUUUAGUAGGGAAGAAGCCUUCGGGUGACGGUACCUGCAGAAAAAGGACCGGCUAACUACGUGCCAGCAGCCGCAGUAACAC
rnacentral:rRNA from 1 species